GCAAAAUCAGGUUUUCUGAUUCCAAAUCCCGUGUUCAUUCAGCUGCAUCAGGAAUCAGGCCAUUCCGCUCCUAGUAUUAGCAGCAAUAACAAAACAGGAACAGCAGCUGAUGUGUAUUUGGUGCUGUACCAUGUGCCAGUCUCUUUAAAAAUAUUAUCUCUCAGGGUAGAUGCUAGCAUUCUAUUUUACAUCCCCGAGAAAACUUAAAAUUAUCAGGGUUAAAUAACUUUCCAAGAUCACACAGCCAGUAUAUCCACAAAGCAAGUAUUUGAACCAGGUUUGGCUGAGUCUAGAGACGAUGUUCUUAAUAUGCCACUUUGCUAGAGUGGCCUUUGAAGUGCUCUUUGAAAGACAGUUUGUAAGAUGAAAAUAUUCUUUUAGAUAUAUUUAUUGAGAUUUUAGUCAGAAAUGGAUUUCUUGCCCAUUAAAAGCACUAGUGCCCUACAAAGUGCUCUAUUGAAAGUCCUAUUUUUCAGGCACAACAGAUGGAGGACAGAUGUUUCUUUAUGCUCUGAAAGGUCCACUUUAUGUAGCUGACUAUAAUAAGAUUGUAUCUGGUUCCGAAUGUUUCAGAGAAAUGGUAUCAGGCAGAUCAUUGUAAAUGAAAGCCAAAUCAAAGGCAUUAUUGCACAGAUUUGAUAG
rnacentral:lncRNA from 10 species